rnacentral:rRNA from 1 species
ACGCGUUGGGAGCUCUCCCAUAUGGUCGACCUGCAGGCGGCCGCGAAUUCACUAGUGAUUGGAAACAGAUGCUAAUACCGGAUAAUAACAGAUGAUGCCUAUCAACUGUUUAAAAGAUGGUUCUGCUAUCACUCUUGGAUGGACCUGCGGUGCAUUAGCUAGUUGGUAGGGUAACGGCCUACCAAGGCGAUGAUGCAUAGCCGAGUUGAGAGACUGAUCGGCCACAUUGGGACUGAGACACGGCCCAAACUCCUACGGGAGGCAGCAGUAGGGAAUCUUCCACAAUGGACGCAAGUCUGAUGGAGCAACGCCGCAUGAGUGAAGAAGGGUUUCGGCUCGUAAAGCUCUGUUGUUGGUGAAGAAGGACAGGGGUAGUAACUGACCUUUGUUUGACGGUAAUCAAUUAGAAAGUCACGGCUGACUACGUGCCAGCAGCCGCGGUAAUACGAUAAUCGAAUUCCCGCGGCCGCCAUG